rnacentral:rRNA from 1 species
UGUGGGAAUAUUGCACAAUAGGGGGAGAGCCUGAUGCAGCAACGCCGCGUGAGCGAUGAAGGCCUUCGGGUUGUAAGCUCUGUCUUCUGGGACGAUUAUGACCGUACCUGAAGAAGAAGCCACGGCUAACUACCUGGCCGCAGCCGCGGUAAUAUAAAAC